UAACCCUCACCUCUGGGAUGUAACAGUCUCUGACGGUGGAUUUGGAUGUCUGCCGUGAAUGGCUCAUCCUGAAAUGCAUUAGCUGGUGCUUGUUAGAGCGCUCGGCAUGGUGUGAUAAUUAUCUGCGCCGUCGCCUUAGGCCUCUUCCGCGUGUGCCGCUUAUAGCCGUCCCUCUGUGGACAAUGACUGUUAAAGCC
rnacentral:misc_RNA from 1 species